rnacentral:rRNA from 1 species
UAGGGAAUCUUCCACAAUGGACGCAAGUCUGAUGGAGCAACGCCGCGUGAGUGAAGAAGGUUUUCGGACCGUAAAGCUCUGUUGUUGGUGAAGAAGGAUAGAGGUAGUAACUGGCCUUUAUUUGACGGUAAUCAACCAGAAAGUCACGGCUAACUACGUGCCAGCAGCCGCGGUAAUCGUAGGUGGCAAGCGUUGUCCGGAUUUAUUGGGCGUAAAGCGAGCGCAGGCGGAAGAAUAAGUCUGAUGUGAAAGCCCUCGGCUUAACCGAGGAAUUGCAUCGGAAACUGUUUUUCUUGAGUGCAGAAGAGGAGAGUAGAACUCCAUGUGUAGCGGUGGAAUGCGUAGAUAUAUGGAAGAAUACCGGUGGCGAAGGCGGCUCUCUGGUCUGCAACUGACGCUGAGGCUCGAAAGCAUGGGUAGCGAACAGGAUUAGAUACCCUGGUAGUCCAUGCCGUAAACGAUGAGUGCUAAGUGUUGGGAGGCUUCCGCCUCUCAGUGCUGCAGCUAACGCAUUAAGCACUCCGCCUGGGGGAGUACGACCGCAAGGUUGAAACUCU